rnacentral:rRNA from 1 species
UGGGGAAUAUUGGACAAUGGGCGCAAGCCUGAUCCAGCCAUGCCGCGUGAGUGAUGAAGGCCCUAGGGUUGUAAAGCUCUUUCACCGGUGAAGAUAAUGACGGUAACCGGAGAAGAAGCCCCGGCUAACUUCGUGCCAGCAGCCGCGGUAAUACGAAGGGGGCUAGCGUUGUUCGGAAUUACUGGGCGUAAAGCGCACGUAGGCGGAUCGAUCAGUUAGGGGUGAAAUCCCGGGGCUCAACCCCGGAACUGCCUCUAAUACUGUCGAUCUGGAGUUCGAGAGAGGUGAGUGGAAUUCCGAGUUUAGAGGUGAAAUUCGUAGAUAUUCGGAGGAACACCAGUGGCGAAGGCGGCUCACUGGCUCGAUACUGACGCUGAGGUGCGAAAGCGUGGGGAGCAAACA